CAGGUCUUGACAUCCUCUGACACUCCUAGAGAUAGGAUUUUCCCCCUCGGGGGACAGAGUGACAGGUGGUGCAUGGUUGUCGUCAGCUCGUGUCGUGAGAUGUUGGGUUAAGUCCCGCAACGAGCGCAACCCUUGAUCUUAGUUGCCAGCAUUCAGUUGGGCACUCUAAGGUGACUGCCGGUGACAAACCGGAGGAAGGUGGGGAUGACGUCAAAUCAUCAUGCCCCUUAUGACCUGGGCUACACACGUGCUACAAUGGAUGGUACAAAGGGCUGCGAAACCGCGAGGUUUAGCCAAUCCCAUAAAACCAUUCUCAGUUCGGAUUGUAGGCUGCAACUCGCCUACAUGAAGCCGGAAUCGCUAGUAAUCGCGGAUCAGCAUGCCGCGGUGAAUACGUUCCCGGGCCUUGUACACACCGCCCGUCACACCACGAGAGUUUGUAACACCCGAAGUCGGUGGGGUAACCGUAAGGAGCCAGCCGCCUAAGGUGGGACAGAUGAUUGGGGUG
rnacentral:rRNA from 1 species